rnacentral:rRNA from 1 species
UACGAAGGGGGCUAGCGUUGUUCGGAAUUACUGGGCGUAAAGCGCGCGCAGGCGGUUCUUUAAGUCAGGGGUGAAAGCCCAGAGCUCAACUCUGGAAUUGCCUUUGAAACUAGAGAACUAGAGUACGGGAGAGGUGAGUGGAAUUCCGAGCGUAGAGGUGAAAUUCGUAGAUAUUCGGAAGAACACCGGUGGCGAAGGCGGCUCACUGGCCCGUUACUGACGCUCAGGCGCGACAGCGUGGGGAGCAAACAGG